rnacentral:lncRNA from 1 species
AAAAAAGCAAAAAUAAUGUUUAUAAUAUGCAUGCUUUUAUAUAAAUAAAAUACAUUUAUACGUUAUAUACUAAUAAAACAAGAAACAACAACAAAAUUACUAUUAUCCUAAAAAGAGAAAAAAGAGAAAAAAAAAAAAAAAAAAAAUCAACAACAACAACAACAACAAUGAGCGUUUAUAAUUUUUAUCAAAAUCUAAUCCCCAGCCAAUCGAUAAGAACUGCUUUAUGUUGUGAUAUAAAAGGUAAUGGGAAAAAGUAUUUAAUAUACGCAAAUAAUAAUUCAUUAAAUGUUUGUUCUGUUGAUAAGGAUGGCUAUACAGAUGAUCAUAGUAAACAUUUCAUUUUUUCUGAUAUACUAGAGAUAAGAGAAUAUAAACCACGAAAAUUAAUUGAUACAAAUAAAAAUAAAAAUAUUAAAUCUUAUAUAUUUUUAUUAACAAAAGAAUAUAAAUUAUUAUUAUUAGAAUUUAAUACAAAAUUAAAUGAAUUUAUUACAUUAUCUAAAACAAAUUUACGAGAUGUAAUUGGAUUACAUAUAGAUGAAGAAAUAAUUUUUUUAUUAAAUGAAAAAAAUAGUGCAAUUGUAUUUUAUGCAUAUAAAAAUAUAAUGAAAUAUAUUUUAUUAGACUAUGACGAUUAUUUUAAUUUAAAUCAUUUAUAUACAGUUAGGUUGGAAGAUGGUUAUGUUAUAGACAUAAUAUUUUUAAAUUAUUACGAUGAAGAAAAUGAAGAAAAUGAAGAAAAUGGAGAAAAUGAAGAAAAUGAAGAAAAUGGAGAAAAUGGAGAAAAUGGAGAAAAUAAAGGAAAUGGAGAAAAUGGAGAAAAUAAAGAAAAUAAAAAAAAUAAAGAAAAUAAAAAAAAUAAAGAAAAUAAAAAAAAUAAAGAAAAUAAAGAAAAUAAAAAAAAUAAAGAAAAUAAAAAAAAUAAAGAAAAAUAUGGAGCAGAUUAUUGUUUAUGUAAUAACAGUAAUGUUAAUGUUAGUAGUGGAAAUUAUAUGUACAAUGGUCAUAUGUAUUAUCCUAGUAACGAGUUGGAUGUUAAGGAAAGUACAAAAAAACAAAAAAAUAAAAAAUCACAUUCUUUUAUUAAUUCACCAAUGAAUAAUAAUAAUAAUAAAAAUUAUCCUAUUUGUAUUGAUGACAAUAAUAAUGCAAGUUCUAUUGUAAAUAAAAAAAAUAUUAACAAUAAUAACAAUAAUAAUAACAAUAAUAAUAACAAUAAUAAUAAUAUUAUAUAUAACAAUAUAAAUAAUAAAAAAACGUACGAUUUUGAAAAUAUGCAAAUUGAACAAACAUAUAAUGAUGAUAGUACAUCUAUAAAAAACAUGACUAAAAAUAAAUACGAUAAAUUAAUUAAUGUAAGUAGUAAUAGUGUAAGUAGUAAUAAUGUAAGUAGUAAUAAUGUAAGUAGUAAUAGUUAUGUAAACAAAGACAAAAAUUAUAACCAUAUUAAUACGAUAAACAAUAAAAAUACAUUUAAUGAACAUUCAGUUAUACCUAAAGUAUUUGAAACGCACGAGGAUGAUAUUUUUAAUAUGAUGUUGGAUGGAUAUAAAGAUAAUAAUCCGUAUGAGAAAAAGCAAAAUUUAAAAAAAGAAAAGAAAAAAAUAAAAAAAAUAUUUGAAAAAAAACUAAAAGAACAUUGUGAUAGUAUGUAUUUACAUAACAACAAUACUAAUACUUAUCGUAAUAGUUAUAAAAUAAAUUCAGAAGAAAAAUUUAAAAAUAAGAAAUGGAAUGAAAGUAGUGAAAAUUGUUCUAACAUUUCUUUAUGUUUUUAUAAUUUAAAAAAUAUUUUAUUUGAUGAAAAAAAAUAUGUAAAAAAAAUAUAUUAUGAAAAAAAAAAAUAUAUUAUUAACUAAUAGAAGAAAAGUUAAUAUAUGUCCUAGUCCAAUAAAAUUUAAAAAAUUUGAUAAUAUAUUUUCUGA